rnacentral:rRNA from 1 species
UACGGAGGGUGCAAGCGUUAUCCGGAUUUACUGGGCGUAAAGCGUGCGCAGGCGGUUUUGUAAGUCUGUCGUGAAAGCCCCGGGCUCAACCUGGGAAUUGCGAUGGAGACUGCAAGGCUUGAAUCUGGCAGAGGGGGGUAGAAUUCCACGUGUAGCAGUGAAAUGCGUAGAGAUGUGGAGGAACACCGAUGGCGAAGGCAGCCCCCUGGGUCAAGAUUGACGCUCAUGCACGAAAGCGUGGGGAGCAAACAGG